rnacentral:rRNA from 1 species
GACGAACGCUGGCGGCGUGCUUAACACAUGCAAGUCGAACGAAGUGGCGAACGGGUGAGUAACGCGUAAUCAACCUGCCCUUCAGAGGGGGACAACAGUUGGAAACGACUGCUAAUACCGCAUACUGAAGGAGGGGAUUUCGUCUGAUUAGCUAGUUGGAGGGGUAACGGCCCAACAAGGCGAUGAUCAGUAGCCGGUCUGGGAGGAUGAACGGCGAAAUUGGGAGUGAGACACGGCCCAGACGACUACGGGAGGGAGCAGUGGGGAAUCUGCCGAAAUGGACGAAAGUCUGAAGGAGCAACGCCGCGUGAGUGAUGACGGCCUUCGGGUUGUAAAGCUCUGUUAAUCGGGACGCGGUACCGGAAUAGAAAGCCACGGCUAACUACGUGCCAGCAGCCGCGGUAAUUC